rnacentral:rRNA from 1 species
AAUCUUCGGCAAUAGACGGAAGUCUGACCGAGCAACGCCGCGUGAGUGAGGAAGGCCUUCGGGUCGUAAAGCUCUGUUGCCAGGGAAGAAUGGCCUUGUGUUAACUGCACGAGGUUUGACGGUACCUGAGAAGAAAGCACCGGCUAACUACGUGCCAGCAGCCGCGGUAAUACGUAGGGGGCAAGCGUUGUCCGGAAUUAUUGGGCGUAAAGCGCGCGCAGGCGGUCGCUUAAGUCUCAUGUUUAAACCCGGGGCUCAACCCCGGGUCGCAUGGGAAACUGGGUGACUUGAGUGCAGGAGAGGAAAGCGGAAUUCCACGUGUAGCGGUGAAAUGCGUAGAGAUGUGGAGGAACACCAGUGGCGAAGGCGGCUUUCUGGCCUGUAACUGACGCUGAGGCGCGAAAGCGUGGGGAGCAAACAGG